rnacentral:rRNA from 1 species
UACGUAGGGAGCGAGCGUUGUCCGGAUUUACUGGGUGUAAAGGGUGCGUAGGCGGCAGGACAAGUCAGCUGUGAAAACUAUGGGCUUAACCCAUAGCCUGCAGUUGAAACUGUUCUGCUUGAGUGAAGUAGAGGUAGGUGGAAUUCCCGGUGUAGCGGUGAAAUGCGUAGAGAUCGGGAGGAACACCAGUGGCGAAGGCGGCCUACUGGGCUUUAACUGACGCUGAGGCACGAAAGCAUGGGUAGCAAACAGG